rnacentral:lncRNA from 1 species
AGAUAGGCCCAGGGGUUCACUGCCGCUCUGUCUGCAAACCUGAAAAUAGUAAGCAACUUGAACAUCCACCAAGAGGGGGCUGUUUCAACUGCCUCUCUGUCCCCGCAGGUGCUGGACAGACAGUGGCUCCCGGCACAGGCUUUGCUCUACUGUGGGCUCAGUGGUCUCUGCCCUGCACAGCAGUGACCAGUGCCUUGUCGUCCCCCUCACCAGAAUGAACACUCCCUUACUCUCGCUUCUGUCUCCACUGGGGCUUGGCACAGGAUCUGGCAUGCUAGAGUCACCAGAAAAGUAACAAGAGGCAGAGCAUGGUGGAGGCACCACAGGCGCCUCUGGGAGGAGGUCCCCAGGGCUCCCUGGCCGGGACAGGCACCAGCAGUCCUUACUUGCAGCUUCAAGGACAAGGGCUUCUGGUUCAAAAGCCGUUGAUACUGAAUCAGCCAGUAAUUUUCCUGCCUGGUUUCACUUUUGGCUUCUAACUCCGUCUGCCAGGAAUGAAGCAGGCAAUGUUAGUCACAAAAUGGUAAUAAAACCUGUAAUAACAAUGAUGGAUUACAGGCGUGAGCCACUGCACCCAGCCUGAAUGUGAUUCUUUUAUUCUGCCAUUCGAUAACUCUUCGUUGAGUACUGUUCUAGGUGCUGGGAAUACAGCAGUGAACAAACAAUGCUGAUAACAGCCACGGUGACAACAGGCGUAGCUGACAUGUUCACAGUGCCAUGUGCCAGACCAUGCUGUGCACCUAACGAUGCCAUCAUUAAUUCUCACAACUCCGGGAAGGAGAUUCUACCUCCCAGGUGAGGGAGCUGAGGUUCAGGGUGAUGAGUAACCUGCCCAGGGUGGGGCCAGGAAUUGGACCCAGGCCUGUCUUGCUCCAGAGCCCGUGCUCAGAACAACGGAGCUGUUCAGUGAGGGCUGGCAUGACAUGGGGAGUGGGAUCAACACAGGCGUUUCUCAAUCCCUGCUGGGCCUGACUGCCCUUUGCGGGCCCCUCCUGGACCUGGCCACGCCCACUGCUCCCUUCCGUCGUUGGCCCUCCCGGGCUGCAGCCCCUCUCUUCCAGCGCCCAGGAGCCGGAUGGGCUGUGUUCUGCUGGGGCGGUGCUUCCUCCUUUGGUGGUGACCCCCAAGGCCUACAAGGGCAGGGGCACCAGCCAUAGUACCUGGCUGCUAAGGCACAGCGCCAAGGCACCAUCUGCAAAGUAACCUGAUGCGUAGGAGAUGGCAGUAGGGCACCGUGAGGAACAGGCAGCUUCCUCUGAUGGGCACAGGCACCACUUGGCUUGUUCAGGGCUCCAGAAGCAGCUGGUCUCUCUCUUCUAAACCUGCACAGGACCCGGCCUAGGACGCAGCUCAGAGGGCAUCUGGUGCAUUCACGGGGACACAGGAACGACUCGGUCUUUUCCACCCCAGAUGGUGAGCCUGGCCUCUGUCCUCAUUGCUUGGGUGCCCUCUGGGUCUAGAGGAGACACUCUCAAGGGGGCCUCUGCCACGCUGAAAAUGUGCCAGUGUCAAACCCAUCAGGGGACAGGGACAGCUGGGCCACUCCUGCCAAAAGCUUAUCAAACGGCCUGCCCUGGACAUAGUGAGUCCUGUCUGGAGUGAAUACUCAUGGCUGUUCCCGAAUACUCGACUACAAAGGCAUUCGGAGAGCAUUGCCUAGAAAAGUUUAAAAACCAGAAGUAAUCCACAUACUCAACAAUAGGGGCCACGGACAGCCUUGAGAAAGGACGUCAAGGAAUAGUUUAAUGACUUGAAAAGAAUGUGCGGAAACAGGCUGCUCGAAAAGGGUAUGCAGCAUGCCACGUUUAAAAGGCGCAUACACGAACAGCUAUAAAGGUGCAUCACAAUGUUUGGAAAAUAUGCAUCAAAACCGCAGGAGAGGCUAGGCGCGGUGGCUCAUGCCUGUAAAACCAGCACUUUCGGAGGCCAAGGCAGACAGAUCGUUUGAGCCCGGGAGUUGGAGACCAGCCUGGGCAACAUAGCGAAACCCCAUCUCUACAAAAAAUAAAAAAAUUUGCCAGGCAUGGUGGCACAUGCCUGUAGUCCCAGCUACUCGGGAAGCUGAGGUGGGAGGAUCGCUUGAGCCCAGGAAGUCAAGGCUGCAGUGAGCUGAGAUUGCGCCACUGCACUCCAGCCUGGGCGACAGAGUGAGACCCUGUCUCAAACAAACAAAUAAAAAAUGGCAGGAGAUAACGCUUGGAAAUGCAAUUAUUUUCCUUUGUACUUUCCAGUUUUUCUUUGAUGAAUAACUCUUACUUGAAUAACAGGUGUUUCUAAAAAUGGCAAGUCUGUUAAAGAAAAGCAAAUGCCUGUGUGAUGCUGAGCACAGAAGCCAAACACAUACCAGGAUUUCCCGGAGCUCUUCCUCUCGCUGCUGCUUCUCUUUGAGCAGCUGCUGGAGCAGGGAGCUGAGGGCCCAGCGCUGCUCCGAGAUCAUCUCCUGCGAACAAGACCACACCCCGCACCACCGUGAGCUGGCGGCAGCGCAGGAGUCCCGCAGUGGCAGGAUGGAGAAGGGCCUGGCCUCCCGCUCACUCGGUUCUCUGCCCAAUGCCUCCAGGCUGCGUUGGGGGACAAAGCUAAGAGGCCCUUCUGCCCCCUUACCCUAAGCCCGCAUCUCUCUUCCUUGUGGGGUUAAGUCAGGCAUGGGAUCCUGGUGACUGAUGACAAUGGGAUGGUAAGAAACAUCA